rnacentral:rRNA from 1 species
GCAGCAGGCACGCAAAUUACCCACUCCCGGCACGGGGAGGUAGUGACAAAAAAUAACGAUACGGGACUCAUCCGAGGCCCCGUAAUCGGAAUGAGCACACUUUAAAUCCUUUAACCAGGAUCUAUUGGAGGGCAAGUCUGGUGCCAGCCGCCGCGGUAACUCCAGCUCCAAUAGCGUAUAUUAAAGUUGUUGCGGUUAAAAAGCUCGUAGUUGGUUCUGUGUCCCACGCUGUUGGUUCACUGCCUGUCGGUGCAACUGGCAUGUCGUGGGAUGUCCUGUCGGUGGCGUCCGGGGUCUUCGGAUAAGUUCCUUCGGGUGCUUUCCGUUGUUCUUCCGGUCGCCGACUCAAUCCUGCCGCGGUGCUCUUUACUGAGUGUCGAGGUAGGCCGACACGUUUACUUUGAACAAAUUAGAGUGCUUAAAGCAGGCUGAAUCCUGCCAGAAUAGUGGUGCAUGGAAUAAUAGAACAGGACCUUGGUUCUAUUUUGUUGGUUUUCGGAAUCCAAGGUAAUGAUCAAUAUGGACAGACGGGGGCAUUCUUGGCAAAUGCUUUCGC